ensembl:rRNA 5S_rRNA 5S ribosomal RNA
GUUUUUGGCGAUACCACAUUGUAUGCAGCCAGUCUUGUCUGAUCUUGGAAGCUAAGCAGGGUUGGGCCUGGCUAGUACUUGGAAUGGGAGACCUCCUGGGAAUACCAGGUGCUGUAAGCC